rnacentral:rRNA from 1 species
UACAGAGGAUGCAAGCGUUAUCCGGAAUGAUUGGGCGUAAAGCGUCUGUAGGUGGCUUUUUAAGUCCGCCGUCAAAUCCCAGGGCUCAACUCUGGACAGGCGGUGGAAACUACCGAGCUCGAGCACGGUAGAGGCAGAUGGAAUUCCCGGUGUAGCGGUGGAAUGCGUAGAGAUCGGGAAGAACAUCAGUGGCGAAGGCGGUCUGCUGGGCCGUUGCUGACGCUGAGGCGCGACAGCGUGGGGAGCAAACAGG